rnacentral:lncRNA from 14 species
CAAGCAGUUGCCAAGUGAUCUUCUCCACAGCACCCAUGAACUUCAGCCUUGAACUGAAGAGGACUCAUCAAAUGCCUUAUGAGACAGCAUGGAAUUGCAAGAGAAGCUGGGAUGUCAGUGAAGGGCAGUCAACUACAGUCUUGGUGUGUGGAGGAGCAGGUCCUGUUCUCCCUGUUGUUGCUCCCACAUAGGCGGACUCUGUAAUUGAUUAUGUGUGGGUAGGGCCCUAUUGAAAUUCAGGAGAUUCUGCAAUAGUGCAGGGUUCUUUCUGUGAAAGUUCAGUUGCAAGAUCAGGACUCUACUGUGACUCCUUACUGUGCAUUCUGUCAGUGUAUCAUUGAUAGUGCUGGAACCUGCCUUUUGGGAUAAUGUAAGUCCUGCUUUUCCCCCACAUGUACUUUAGAUAUGAAAUAAUCAUAAAACAUUUUUAGUCAGAAGAUGAAUGUCAUUUACAUGCAUUCUUUUAAUUAUUUUUUUUUGGCAGUACCAAAUACUAUAUUCCUCAAAACUUCUUAAUGGCACUGAGGCUUUGUGGAUAAUUGGUCACAUGAUGAGAAAAUUCAGCUCCACUUGUGGAAGGACAAGAAAAAAAUUAAUUUACAGUGAAAAAGAACAGGUUACGUAUUUGGAAAAUGCUUCUAACUACAAGGACAGACUGGAACCAGACUAUCAGGUGAUGCUGGAGCAUAUUCCUCGCUGGAAAUUUCAAACAGAUUACACAAAAAGUUUCUGUCAUCCAGAUGCUCUUACAUUCAUCUUCUUUCAUAAUGGUUGGCUCCACUCAAUAAAUAAUCUGGAAUAUUAAGAAGUCAUUUGAAAAAUAAAUUUGGAAUGUGGAGAUGAAAUUGGAUAGUC